GAUGAACGCUGGCGGCGUGCCUAACACAUGCAAGUCGAACGCUCGCAAGAGAGUGGCGCACGGGUGAGUAACACGUAGCUAAUCUGCCCUCAAGACAAGGAUAACUGUAGGAAACUACUGCUAAUACUUGAUAAGCUUACGGACUGUAGAGGUCUAUAAGAAAGAUUUAUCGCUUGAGGAUGAGGCUGCGCGCCAUCAGCUAGUUGGUAAGGUAAUGGCUUACCAAGGCGACGACGGCUAGGGGACCUGAGAGGGUGACCCCCCACACUGGGACUGAGACACGGCCCAGACCCCUACGGGAGGCAGCAGUGAGGAAUAUUGCUCAAUGGGCGCAAGCCUGAAGCAGCGACGCCGCGUGGAUGAAGAAGGUUUUCGGACUGUAAAAUCCUUUUCUGUGUGACGAGAGUGGACGGUAGCACAGGAAUAAGUCUCGGCUAACUACGUGCCAGCAGCCGCGGUAAU
rnacentral:rRNA from 1 species